rnacentral:rRNA from 1 species
UACAUGGGGUGCAAACGUUGCUCGGAAUCAUUGGGCGUAAAGCGCGCGUAGGCGGUUACUUAAGUCGAAUGUGAAAGCCCUCGGCUUAACCGAGGAAGUGCAUCCGAAACUGAGUAGCUAGAGUACGAAAGAGGGUCGCGGAAUUCCCGGUGUAGAGGUGAAAUUCGUAGAUAUCGGGAGGAACACCGGUGGCGAAGGCGGCGACCUGGGUCGAGACUGACGCUGAGGCGCGAAAGCGUGGGGAGCAAACAGG